rnacentral:rRNA from 1 species
UACGAAGGGGGCUAGCGUUGCUCGGAAUCACUGGGCGUAAAGCGCACGUAGGCGGAUUGCUAAGUCAGGGGUGAAAUCCUGGAGCUCAACUCCAGAACUGCCUUUGAUACUGGUGAUCUUGAGUCCGGGAGAGGUGAGUGGAACUGCGAGUGUAGAGGUGAAAUUCGUAGAUAUUCGCAAGAACACCAGUGGCGAAGGCGGCUCACUGGCCCGAUACUGACGCUGAGGCACGGAAAGC